AUCUGCAGUUUCCGCAGCACCAGUGAAAACCCUAAACAAAAAAUAUUAUGUUUUGAGAUCAUAAGCUCUAGUUCUCUAGAAAGAGAAAUGAAGAAAAGGAAGAAAAAAGAUGGUUCAUGUACUCUAAUCGUAUGAAUCACUGGCUUGAGGGGACUCGGAAACAGCUGACGAUCCUCGAAUCCAAGGAGAAGAUUUUGAUGAACUUGCAUAGGAUGAUGAUAAAGAAGAUGAAUGCUUUCCAAAAUCUUGAUUUUUCCAACAGGUCACUAUAAUAAUCGAAUUUUAGUGUUCUAAUCGAAACAAAUAUCUCUGGGAAAUUGAUUGUAUUCAACUCCUAAAUCCUGCAUUCUAAUGGAGCCACCAACUAAGAAGGUUUCAACGAGAGACACUGGGAGUUGGUUUAUCCAGCAUUGGGUUUGUAUUAGAUAAGAGAUUAUCUUGUGCAACAUCUCCUGCUGUAGGGUCGGUCUUCAAGGGGCGUCGGAAGCAAACACUAAAUGCUGAAACCGGUAGCAGUCAAGGAGAGGAUCAUGGCAAUCCAGAUAAAUCAGGUCAAUGUAGAAUUCUGAAGCAGAUAUCUGCUUGAGAGAACAUAGGAGAAAGUUAAUAUGAUGAAGAUAUUUGUACGAGAGGACUCGGAAAUGGGGUUUUCAUAACAGUUGAUGAACUUAAAUCAGCAUGGAAGAAGUGGGCAAGUUUCAAUUUCAAUAUAAGAUCACACAGGUUCCAUUCUUAUGGUGAGAGGAAGGAGAAGACCUCUAGAAGCUAUAGCCGCCGCGGAAGACUAUUCUCUCUAUGGUUCUGGUGGUUCUUCCAACUUUAAGGCUGCAGAAUACCUGCAGGAAGAUGGCAAAUGGAGAAAAAUCACUUCUCUCCCGUUUUCACUCCAAGUUCACAUAAAUGGCGAUUGCUGGGUUUCCGUAGGGGAUGCCAUUUCAACAGUUACUUAUCAGUCUACCUGGUUGCUGUUGAAUGUAAGAAUUCGCGAUAUGCGAAAUUCAGUUUGGCUCUGUUGUAGAUCAAACCAAUAACCAAAACACAUUGUGAAAAGAUACUGAAGGCCAGAUGUUAUACUUCACUGAGGAUGAUAAUGAUUGGGAUAUGACGACUUCAUACAGUUAAAGGAACUCAAAAAUCCCAGAAAUGAAUAUAUGGCCUGAAUGAUGUUUGUGAUGUUGAAAAUCCCAGAAAUGAAUAUAUUCUGAAUGAUGUUUGUGAUGUUGAAGUUGAAUAAUGUUUAAACUAAACUUAAGAAUCUUAAGAGGAGUUGGUGCCCAUUGAACUCAUGGUAUCUGUUGAGGAGCGGAAUCCAGUUACUAGUAGUAGCAUACAGGCUAGUACUUCAGUAUGCCCCGAUAACCGUUCAGCUUUUAUCUGCGCAUUUUUUCCAAACCUCAAAAGUAUCAGGGGGUUCUGGAUCCAUCUUCUUACAUUUUUGCCAAUGGAGAAGAAGUAGAAGAGGAUGAAGUUGGAGGUGGAGUUUGCUUGGGGUUCCAAGCUCAAAUGUAGUUGUUGCGGGUUAAAGGGUGCAGCUCUUGGCUGCGUUAUAAGUUCCUGCAGGGAUACAUAUCAUGUUCCUUGUGCAUUUGAGACUUCAGGUUUAGGUUACGGAUGCUAGAGUAUGGUGUAAGUUACAGCAUUAAACAUGUUAUGUUGAUUCACUUUGUUAAUGAAAAAAGGCUUUUUAGAUUC